rnacentral:lncRNA from 1 species
GUAUAACUAAGGAAGUCAAGGAAACUUUAAUAUAGGUUUAAUAUUUUGCAUUAGAAAAGAAACAAUCCUAUAAAUCAUCAUUAUUUUACAAAAUUUAAAUUUGUGCCACCUGAAAACUGAUAAUCUCCUCAUAAAAUUUGAGAAAUCUGGAACAAUUUUCAGACCUCAUAAAAGUGGCAACUUUUUUCUAACUUCUUCAUUGACAAAAGACUUUUUACCUGAAGAGUACUUGUGUAGCUAUAAUGUGCCCUCCUUUUGGUAGCUAGACCCUUUACUAGGGAACCAAAAACAAUUUAUAAGUGUUCUGAACAUUGGAAUUUAAACAUUCACUUCGCUGCACUGUGUUCAUACCUUUAACAUUUUCAAGGUUGAGCAUAGCAAUACUGCUGUAGAUAGUUCGUGUUCAACCUACGAGAACAGCCUACUCUACUAGGUGGUCUAUAUCUCACCUAUAAUACUACGCCACUUAAAGCCUACUAAUGCAAAGCCUACCAUGAUUUAUUGUUAUUUAACUUUAUAAAGUACCUGUGUGGGUGGGCGUGCAAUUUGCAGAGCAUUGCCCUCUACCAUAAAAUGUAGGUUCUAACAGGGAAAGAAAAAAACAGUAGUCAAAUGGUUGUAAACACUUGUUUUAAAAGGAUAUAUUUACCAAUCGUGUAUUUAAAAUUUUAUUUCUUUUUUACUGUUUUUAAUGCUCUGGAACAUUACAACUUUCUUUUUUCCUCCUUCAAUCUCUCUUUAAUGGAAAAGGAACGUUAACCUUUAUUUUUCCAGUUCCUUAUAUCUUUUUCUUUUAUUACCAUGAAGAGUUACAGGCUUCAUUUCCCCUACCCUUUUAACAGAUGAUUGCAAUGGUGACUGACACCUAAUAGAAGAAAGAAAGGCAGAGUCUAGCAACUACACACCUUCUCCUUGCUCUUCCUAGCCCCACACAAUUACUUCUGAUACCCAAAAUAAAAGCAGCCAUCAAUAGCAGCCAGUCAGCUCAGUCUUCUCUCUUCAAAUAAACAUUGCAUCCCCCAACAACUCAGAUACAGCAAGUGUCACAGCUCCCUGAUUUCCAGGAGGAAAGCAGGAAGUUUCCUUUCCCCCAUUUCCUCCUAACUGCUCAUUUAGCACUUGAAAAGCAAGCUGGUGGCUCUGCUUGUCCACGCUUCCCGUGGUCCUCAUUGCUCUCUCUGCAUUCCCCCUAUACUCACAUUUAAAUUCCUGUUCUUCCUCAUUUCACUUCCCUGUAUCACACUCAUCCUAGCUGGGCUUUUUGUUACAUCGGAGCUGUCCCACUUGGCCACUAAUCCGGAAUCUGAAAAAACUCAUCAGAACACAGCCACGUAUUACAGCCCCAGUCACCACAGCUCC